AUUGAACGCUAGCGGAAUGCUUUCCACAUGCAAGUCGAACGGGUGGCGGACGGGUGAGUAAUAUCUCGGACCGUGCCCAGUAGGGGGGGUUAACUCCUCAAACGAGUGGCUAAUACCGCUUACUAUUGAGGCGGCCGAUUUGGGAUUAGCUGGUUGGGGGGUUAAAGGCUCACCAAGGCAACGAUCCGUAGCUGGUUUGAGAGGACGACCAGCCACACUGGGACUGAGACACGGCCCAGACUCCUACGGGAGGCAGCAGUGGGGAAUUUUGGACAAUGGGGGAAACCCUGAUCCAGCCAUCCCGCGUGUAUGAGAAGGCCUUCGGGUUGUAAAGUACUUUUGGCAGAGAAGCGGUAUCUGCAGAAUAAGCACCGGCUAACUACGUGCCAGCAGCCGCGGUAAUAC
rnacentral:rRNA from 1 species